rnacentral:rRNA from 1 species
GACGAACGCUGGCGGCGUGCUUAACACAUGCAAGUCGAACGGUGAAGGGGCCUGCUUUUGUGGGUCCUGGAUGAGUGGCGAACGGGUGAGUAACACGUGAGUAACCUGCCCCCUUCUUCUGGAUAACCGCAUGAAAGUGUGGCUAAUACGGGAUAUUCUGGGUCUGUCGCAUGGUGGGCCUGGGAAAGGUUUUUUCCGGUGGGGGAUGGGCUCGCGGCCUAUCAGCUUGUUGGUGGGGUGAUGGCCUACCAAGGCGGUGACGGGUAGCCGGCCUGAGAGGGUGGACGGCCACACUGGGACUGAGACACGGCCCAGACUCCUACGGGAGGCAGCAGUGGGGAAUAUUGCACAAUGGGCGCAAGCCUGAUGCAGCGACGCCGCGUGAGGGAUGGAGGCCUUCGGGUUGUGAACCUCUUUCGCCAGUGAAGCAGGCCUGCUCCC